AGGCGGCCUAGUGGUUAGAGCGACAGGCGGUCUAGUGGUUAGAGAGGCAGGCGGCCUAGUGGUUAGAGUGUUGUGGCAGUAACCGAAAGCUUGCUGGAUCAAAUCCCAGAGCUGACAAGGGAAAAAGUUGUUUUUCUGCCCCUGAGAAAGGCAGUUAACUCAUUGUUCCCCGGACGACGUGGGUGUUGAGUACAGCAGCCCCCCGUACCUCUGAUUCAGAGGGUUUGGGUUCAAUACGGGAGACACAUUUCAGUUGAAUACAUUCAGUUGGACAACUAACUAUUCCUUAAAAUGAGGGACAGACCUAAAGGAAUCACUAAUCACAAUAAAUAAUCAUCUUCAGAAAUGACUGCCAAAGGAACAAAAUAACUGGGACUUUCAACUGGACGCAAAAGACACUGAUUUUGUGGAACGGCCCAGCUCCUCUAUUACAGAGGACACUACAGGUGUACUCCACAGUGGACAGAGGACACUACAGGUGUACUCCACAGUGGACAGAGGACACUACAGGUGUACUCCACAGUGGACAGAGGACACUACAGGUGUACUCCACAGUGGACAGAGGACACUACAGGUGUACUCCACAGUGGACAGAGGACACUACAGGUGUACUCCACAGUGGACAGAGGACACUACAGGUGUACUCCACAGUGGACAGAGGACACUACAGGUGUACUCCACAGUGGACAGAGGACACUACAGGUGUACUCCACAGAGGACACUACAGGUGUACUCCACAGUGGACAGAGGACACUACAGGUGUACUCCACAGUGGACAGAGGACACUACAGGUGUACUCCACAGUGGACAGAGGACACUACAGGUGUACUCCACAGUGGACAGAGGACACUACAGGUGUACUCCACAGUGGACAGAGGACACUAUACAGGUGCACUUCAAGAUGAGCCUUGAAAGGUGUGUGAUUCUGAGUCUGAGGAGAGGAGAGACUGGUGUGAGGACUAGUAUCUAACUGGUAUCUGUGUGAGGAGAGGAGAGACUGGUGUGAGGACUAGUAUCUAACUGGUAUCUGUGUGAGGAGAGGAGAGACUGGUGUGAGGACUGGUAUCUAACUGGUACCUGUGUGAGGACUGGUAUC